rnacentral:lncRNA from 1 species
GAUUUAGCCAUGUUUAGGUUGCAUUUUGUAUACAUGAGUCCUUAUCAGGUAUUGGAGUACCACAUGGAGUUCUUGGAGACACUUGGAAGCAUUUGGAGCUCAAAAAGGAGUGUUUAGAGUGGUCAUUGGGCGAGCAAGGCAUGGGAGCGACCAGUCCGGAGCGACACCACCAAGUCGCUCUGAUCACCAGUCUGGAGCGACCUCACUAGAGCGACAGGAAAGAGUCGCUCGCGUAUUGAUCACCUGGAGACAAUGGAUCCGGAGCGACCUCUCGCAGCGACACAGCGAGGUCGCUCCCGAAUCAUGGAAUUUCAGAGAGUGAAAGAUGAACACGGAUGAAAGCCUUAAAGAUCUUUUCUGAAGCUCAAAAUUUGUGGAGACACUGGAAAUUGAGUUAGCUUUCCAAUGGAAGUGGUUUCAAGUCAUUUGAAGAUGUAUUGGAUAAGUUAUAAUCGAUUUACUACAGGUGUAUCAACCCUUACCGGGGACCACUGGAAAGUUGAUGGGAUUAACCAACUUCCCACUUUCUUCCACCCACUUUUCCUUUGCACGAUUUUUCCUACUUUUCUGUAUAAUAUUUGCUUUCUUUUUAUCCAAAGAGUGGGCAAGAAACAGGAGGAGGGUACUGGGUAAUAAAAGAAAAACUUGUCAAAACUCUCUCUCUUUAAAAUAUCAUUUGUUCUUAGUGUUCUUGAGCUGUUCUUCAAUUGUUCAUCAUCUGUUCUUGAGUUCUAAUUUCGUUUUGCUUGUUUAAUCCUUGUUUAUCUUUAUUCUCUGUUGUAUUUACUUGAAUAUGCUUCAAUCUAUUAUGAGAUUAAGUGUUUUCAUGAAGAUUAGUGAGUAGUUUCCUUAAGAAUUCAUGGGUUAGGGAGAUUAGAGUAACUUAGUGAAGAUCUAUGGUGUUAUUGUAUUAGAUCCUUGUAUGAACUUGCUUGUUGAGUAUUUUUAAUGCUUGUUUAGUCUUGAUCACUCUAAACCUGAUUUCUAAACACUUCUCAUCAUACAUGAUUAGAUGAAGUGUUUGAAUCAACUCAACUAAGCUCUAGUGAGAUUAGCCAAGGACACUUGAUGUUAAAAUUGCUAGAUAGUUAUUGAACUUGAACUUAAAGAUUGCUUGAUUGAAUUAAGCCAAAGACAUUUGAUGUUUAAUGAUUUCUAAGCAAAUGGGCAUUUACCUAGACAUAGGACUUGUCUAAGAUUGUGUUUAGACUUAAGAGAUUAUUUUGAUUGAAAGCUUGUCACCUAGAUUGGAUCUUAGUUACUUGAAGUCAAUUCCCAAUACCCAUGGAUUCACUUGUCUAAAUUGAUUAAAACCUUGUUGUAUUGCUCUGUUUGCUAUUGUUACUUGUCACACACUCACAACUAUUGAAUCUGCUUAGCUUAAGAAAUGACUUGUAUUCUCACUGAUUCACAUCACUAGGACUGGUUCGACAUUCACCCCCCUACACUACAACAUUUGCAAUAGGCAGAAAAACCUAUUAUCAAAUUGGCGCCGUUGCCGGGGAUCGUCUGAUUGUGACAUUGCGUUUGAGUCUUUGCUUGAGACUGAGUUUUACUUUGUUUUUAAGUUACUAAUUAUUUAUCUUCAUAUAUAUUUGGAUGACAGGUGCAUGAACUUGAGAAGCAAAGGAUCAACAAAUCUUGCACCAAGAGUGGACAACAUCAAAGCCUUAGAAAGAGAGUUGGGAAGACAGAGAAGAGAAAGAGAAAAGCAAGCCCACUUACAUAGAUUGGGGCUUGAGAUGGAGAGAAACCCGAAUCAACCGGAAGGUGUCUAUGAAGUUGAUGAUCAUAGACAAAAUGUCCAAGAAGUUCCUCCUGGAGCUGCUCAAGAGGGCAAUGGUCAAGGAGCUGCCAACCUUCGACCUAGACAACCACAACGCCAAGCUAGGGCCAUCGGUACAUAUGAUCAACCUAACAUAAAUGGGAAUAGGUUGGGCAUUAGGGGACCGCCAGUUGCCAACAACAAUUUCGAGAUCAAGUCCAGCCUCAUCAACAUGAUUGAAAACAACAAGUACCAUGGACUUGCCUUGGAAGACCCACUAGAUCACCUUGACAGAUUUGAUAAAUACUGUGGCUUGUCAAAAACAAAUGGAGUUUCAGAGGAUGCUUUCAAGCUCAGAUUGUUUCCCUUCUCUUUGGGAGACAAGGCUCACACUUGGGAGAAAAACAUCUCAAGUGAUACUAUCACAACUUGGGAUGAAUGCAAGAAGGCCUUCCUCAACAAGUUCUUCUCUGCUACAAGGACUGCAAACCUUAGAAAUCAGAUCUCUGGUUUUCAACAAAAAGGACUUGAAGGAUUUUCAGAGGCAUGGGAGAGAUUCAGAACCUACUUGUCUCAAUGUCCACACCAUGGCUUCAACAAUGAGAGCUUGCUAAGCACUUUCUACAGAGGAGUCUUGCCUAAAUUCAAAAGCCAGCUUGACACUGCAAGCAAUGGAAACUACUUGGGGAGGACUGUCGAAGAUGCAUUAGAACUCUUGGAGAACAUGGCACAGAGUGAUUCUGUCUACAAUGAUGAAUAUGACAGAAGAGACAGAAGUGGGGGAGGAGAAGAUAUGACCACAAAAAGAGAACUGAAAGCAAUACAAGAAAAGAUUGACAUGCUACUAUCAGAAAAGAACAAGAAGGAGGAGUUACAUAUGGUUUCUGAAGAUGAUGGAGUAGAAUGCCAAGAAGAUAUGUACUAUGUCAAUGCUCAGGGUACAUGGUACAAGAAGGAACAUGACUAUCAAAACCAAGAACAGUGAAGGAUAUAAGAAGCUUUCUGGGUCAUGCCGGUUUCUAUAGAAGAUUCAUCAUGGAUUUCUCUAAGAUAGCUAGACCAUUGACCAGGCUGUUAUGCAAAGAAGCUGCAUUUCACUUCGAUGAGGAGUGUAUGGAAGCUUUCAAAAACCUGAAGAAUGCACUCGUCAGUACACCCAUAGUUCAGCCGCCAGAUUGGGAUCUCCCCUUUGAGAUCAUGUGUGAUGCAAGUGACUUUGCUGUAGGAGCAGUCCUAGGCCAGAAGAGAGACAAGAAGUCACAUGUGAUCUACUAUGCAAGUAGAACACUUGAUGAAGCUCAAGCUAAAUACUCUACAACUGAGAAGGAGAUAUUGGCCAUUGUCUUUGCAUUUGAGAAGUUCAGAAGCUACUUGGUUGGGUCAAAGGUGACUGUCUACACUGAUCAUGCUGCAUUGAGACACCUCUUAGCCAAGAAAGAUGCAAAACCAAGACUGUUGAGAUGGAUUCUGCUGCUACAAGAGUUUGAUCUUGAGAUCAAGGACAGGCCUGGAGUUGAGAAUGGAGUAGCUGAUCACCUGUCCAGGUUGAAGGUGGAGUGUGGAAUCCCUAUUGAUGACAGACUUCCAGAAGAGCAAAUGAUGGCUAUUCAUGCAGUGGUAGCUGUUUGUGAGACGGGAAAGAAAUUUGAAGAGGUGAAGGCAGCUGAUGAGAAGGGUCCUUGGUAUGCUGAUAUAGUCAACUACUUAGCUACUGGAAAAGAGCCAUUGAACCUUGAAGGUUAUGCCAAGAAGAAGUUCUAUAAAGAUGUGAAGAGAUAUUAUUGGGAUGAGCCUUACCUCUACAUACUGUGUAGAGAUCAACUCUAUAGAAGGGCAGUGGCUGAAGAAGAAAUUGAUGGGAUCCUUACACAUUGUCAUGGAUCAUCCUAUGGAGGCCACUUUGCUACCUUUAAGACAGUUGCAAAGGUGCUACAAGCUGGAUUUUGGUGGCCUCACAUGUUUAAAGACACCCAAGACUUUGUCUCAAGGUGUGACUCUUGUCAAAGAAGAGGAAACAUCACCAAGAGGAAUGAAAUGCCUCAAAACCCCAUCCUAGAAGUUGAAGUAUUUGAUGUCUGGGGUAUUGACUUCAUGGGGCCUUUUCCUUCAUCUUAUAGCAACAAGUACAUACUGGUGGCUGUAGAUUAUGUCUCUAAGUGGGUGGAAGCAAUUGCAAGUCCAACCAAUGAUGCAAAGGUGGUUCUAAAAAUGUUCAAGAGCAUAAUCUUUCCAAGGUUUGAGAUUCCAAGAGUUGUGAUCAGUGAUGGAGGGUCUCACUUCAUCAACAAACUGUUUGCAAACCUCCUUAAGAAGAAUGGUGUGAAGCACAAGGUUGCAACUCCUUACCACCCCCAAACAAGUGGUCAAGUUGAGAUUUCCAAUAGGGAGAUCAAGUCCAUUCUGGAGAAGAUUGUGGGGGUUACAAGGAAAGAUUGGUCCAUCAAGCUUGAUGAUGCAUUGUGGGCUUAUAGGACAGCUUACAAGACACCUUUGGGGACUACACCUUUCAACCUUCUCUAUGGAAAAUCUUGCCAUCUACCAGUUGAGCUUGAGUACAAGGCACUAUGGGCAGUCAAGUUGCUGAAUUUUGACAUCAAGAGUGCCAAGGAGAAGAGAUUGAUCCAGCUGAAUGAACUUGAUCAGAUAAGACUUGAAGCUUUUGAAAGUUCAAAGAUCUACAAAGAGAAAACAAAGGCUCUCCAUGACAAACAUAUCCUGAAAAGAGACUUUAAAGAAGGAAAUCAAGUUCUUCUAUACAACUCCAGACUGAAAUUGUUUCCAGGCAAGCUCAAGUCAAGGUGGUCUGGUCCUUUCAAGAUUAAAGAGGUUAAACCUUAUGGAGCAAUAGUUUUGUGGACUUCUGAUGGAAGAGAGUUCACCAUCAAUGGACAAAGGGCGAAGCUUUACUUGGGAACCAAAUCGGAAGACCUGGGAACUUCAGUUCCACUGUCUGAUCCUACACCGGCCUAAUCUAAAAGGAGGCAAAGUCAAGCUCGGGACUUAAAACAAGCUCACUUGGGAGGAAGUCCCAUGCGUAUCCUUGUAUAUAUUGCAUUGGUAUUUUCAUUUUUCAUCUUAUUGGAAAAAAAAAAAAAAAAAAAAAGGGAGAGAAGUUGUGUGCAGGUGCUUGAUCGGUUCAGUUUUGAGCAGGAGUAGUGCGUGGGAGCGAGGUCUCACAGCGACACCUCAAGGUCGCUCCAGCUCAGAGAGAGGUUUCUAGAGCGAUACUACAAGGUCGCUCGCAGUUUCGACGAAACGGAGUUCAAAAACUAACCCAGAGCGACGCCCUAGCGCGACACCUUGACGUCGCUCCAGCUCAGAGCGAGGUUUCUAGAGCGAUACUACAAGGUCGCUCGCGGUUUAGUCGAAACACGACGCGAGGAAACCACUCGGGAGCGACCUCUCCCAGCGACACCCUCACGUCGCUCCCGAACCGGUCCAGGUAAGUUUCCUAACUCUAAACCCCGGUUUAACUCAAGUAAACCGACUCUAACCACCCUAGACUGAACCGGACGACCCUAAACCUACCCCAACCCCCGCGACUCCAUCUCUAUCACUCUCCCUUCCUCUCAAAAACUCACAAACUCUCUCAAACUGACCCACACCAAAAUUCCCAAAACCUUCUCAAUUCUCACCCAAAUCAACUAGUUCUUGUUUCUAAAUCCAAGCUUUCGCCCCUGUAGUCUAUUCUUCACUACCCAUUCACCAUUUCCUUUCAUCCAGAGCAAGGUAUUGAGUUUUUAAAUUCAAAUUCGUAGGUCCAUGAACCCUAGAAUUUGAAAGUCGAAAUUUGGUUCUUUUCUUGCUAGAUUGUGGUGAAAUAGACUAGGGAAAGUUUAUCUAUCAAGUUGGGUUGUUGAAUUAAUGGUGAAAUUGAGUUUAAAUCGCACUUAGGCAAAAUUAGGAUUCAUGGAUUUGGGGGUUUUUCGAAUUUGAUCUUAAUUGGGUGUGUUUGUGGGUGGACUAGAUGAGUUAAGAUGUUACAUUGUUGCAUUGUGUUGAACUUGAGUUUAAACUGAAAAAUUCACCUGUUAAGUUCACUUUUGCAAAAAUUUUCACUUGCAAAGUCUUGCUUUUCUUUACUUCCAUCUACUUAUCCCUUUCCAAGUUGGUAAUUUUUCAGGUGAAAAUGGUUAAGAAGACAAAGGGAAGGUUGGAAGCUGAGAGGCAAGAAGCCGAAAGUCAAGAGUUUGCACUAAGAGGAAAAGCUUUAACCAGCGAGCCAACUGGCUCAGGGACGCAUAGGACUGUGCGACAGCAGACGUUGGCUGCAAAGAAAUCGAAAGAACACGAGAAGAAGGCAGGAAAAAGCGUACCAGUUAACACCCAUGAGGAAGGUGAAACUGAAAGUGAAGAUGAGCCGGCACCUACGAAGAAAGCCAAAAUGUCAAAGGGCAAAGGGGUUGCUGUUGAUCGAGACAGAACGAAAACUCCAUCUGUGGAGGAGCUAUAUGAUCAUUUGAAGAAUGGAGUCACUUGGGCUCCAACCAGGUUUGCCGACCUCGAUUUGCUGAAGGAGUUGGGUCUAGAGUCUGAUAUUGAGACGAUGCUGGGACAUUUGAAGAUGCCAAAACUCAUCACCAUGGCUUAUCCUUUCUACAAGGAUGUCACUUGUCAGUUCCUAUCCUCUCUUGUGGUCACUUACCAUGACACGGCGCAUGUGAGACAAGGAUGGGGAAAAAUCAGGUUCAAGGUCAAUGGAAGAGAAUUCAACAUGAACUUCAAGGACAUUGGGAGGGUCAUGGGGUUCCAAGACCUAGAAGACCACUCACUUCCCAAGUGUGAGAACCUCCCCACACAGCUCUGGAAGUUGAUCACUGGAAACAAGCACUCUACCGGGGCGGACAAGAACUCACACAUCCGACACCCGUCUGUACGCUACCUCCACAGAUUGCUAGUCCAUGCUUUUUACCCACGGAAGCAAGCGGGUACGGUUACUGAGGAAGACAUGCGACUGCUCUGUCCGGCUAUCCGUCCAUACGCUCAACCUGGACUGUUACCCCUUCCCAGCACUGAUAUCUAUGCUACCUUUGGGAUUGUCAGUUUCUUUGUGGGCCGUCUCGAGCACUACAGAGACUGGGCGUGGUACACCACUGAUUCGCGCCCAAAGAUGGGGAUAGGCGGAAUGAUCACACCACUGCUCCAAUUUCUGAAUGUUCCCUUGGGAAAGGACGCAGCGGGGCCUAGGUUCAUUGAUGGCACCUACUUGAGGAUUGCCACCUAUUUCAGUGGGAUGUAUGGGAAGGACUACGUCUACCACUACUACUUGCAGGGCAAGCCAGUCGAGGUGGUUCUUCCAAACCGGAACCUGACGAGUUUAGAGAUACCUGGAGCUGUCAGCUUCAACAUUCCCCAGGAGUACUUUCUCGGAGAACACGAGCCUCUCGAUCCAAUUCAACCAGAUCCAUCAAGGAAAAGGAGUGUCCCUACGCAACCUGACUCGCCUGUUGCAGACACAUCUGAGCAUAUCUAUGGACCUCCGCGCUACUACUUCAAGCCCCAUCACGGAGUCCUUCCACCUGGAGCUCUCCGUGAUGCUCAUGACCACAUUGGUCGUCUCCAGAGGUGGAACAAAGCUCAGGACAGAACGAUAGAAAAGCUGAAGGAUAAGUGCAAGGCGCUCAGCAAGACUGUGAAGAAGCAGGCAAAGACUUCAGCCAAGUUCAUGAAGAAAGUAGCUGAUGUCUUAACUAGGGGAGGAAUAGCUGGAUGUAGCUCAGCCGAUUUCGCUUUUGCGAACACCUCAAACCCCCAGCCUCCACCACCGCCUGAUGCUCUUGGCUUCCCCCUCACUGCUGCGCAGCUUCAGCGUAAGUGGAGGAACCCACCCACUCAACCUUCCACUUCAGGCAACAAAUCCCCAUCCCUCGCUUCUUCAGACAGUGAGGACGAGAUUGAGGAGGUUGAGAGCCAACCAUGGUAUGGAGGCUCCGGUUCAGCAUUCAGACAGUGAGGACGAGAUUGACGAGGUUGAGAGCCAACCAUGGUAUGGAGGCUCAGGUUCAGCAUCCGGUGGUUACUACACCACCUUCCCUCCUGACGACGACGAUGCUGGGGCAUCUGCCCCCACAUACUAUCCAUAGGAGGUACUUCUUUCUCUCCCUUGUAUAUACCAUUUCAUUUUUGCAAAUUAGUUUUCUUCUCGGUAUCUCUCUCUUUCCUUGAACACAGAGACUGUGUAUCUAAAGUUUGGGGGAGGUACCAAGCAUUUGAUCAUGUUUGCUUUCAUUGUGUUUCAUUUGAGUCAUGCAUUGAACACCUAUUUGCAUAAAAAAAAAAAAAAAAAAAAAAAAAAAAAAAAAAAAAAAAAAAAAAAAAAAAAAAAAAAAAAAAAAAAAAAAAAAAAAAAAAAAAAAAAAAAAAAAAAAAAAAAAAAAAAAAAAAAAAAAAAAAAAAAAAAAAAAAAAAAAAAAAGAUUUUUCAUUUAGAUUGCAUCAUUUGCACCAUUAGGAGAGUCUAGAGCAUAUAGGUUGCAUUCACUUGCAUUGGGAGCAAUGAUUUUAAAUACCUUGUAAAGAACACUACGUUGCACCUGAGUAUCCAUGCACCUCUCGAAAAGACUUGUAUGUUUCGAGCCUUGAAAACUCUUCUUGAAACUUGUUGAUUGUAGAAACUCAGUCUUUGAAGCCAGCUACAACCUUAUUUGAACUGAAUGAACUUAAUGCUUCUUGCUUAGGGUCUCUUGUGUACUGAGUCAUGGCUAUACACACUUGAGUUGUCACAUCUUUUAUGCCAUUCUUUUUGACAAACUCUAGUGGUAGACCACUCCCAAAACCUUUCCUUCCUUUUAAGCUUUCAUUGUUUGAUGAGUGAGGCCUUCUUCGGAAAGUUUUACAUGUGCAUAAUGUUGAGAGUAUCGGGAACGACAAUGCUUGAUCUUCAUUUUUGCUGGAUUGGACACUCUAUUGUCUAGCUAUAGGUGGGAGGGUGAGCGUUGUAAUCAUGAUUUGGGAAAAAUAAAAAGGAUAGAUUCUUGUGCUCAAGUGAAUUGAUUUAUUGGGAUAAGUAGAGAACCUCCAGCUCUAGUUUUGAAAUGUCUUGGCCCCCAACCUAAAAAAAAAAAAAAAAUAAAAAAUAAAAAAAAAAUAAAAAAGAGAGAAAAAUGGGGCUAGCAAAGUUGUUAGGAGCUGAGAGACAUUUUGAGGUUGUGAAAAAUCCCUUAUAGAUUUCAAGGAAAAAGAGCUGAUGUUUUUAGAAUCUUUUGGUGAGAGGUGUGAGUUGGGUUUGACAUUUGAGAGUGAAUGUGUAACUUAUAUGUUUGGGAAAAGGGUAGAACAAUGGAAAUUGAGCAUUGUAUGCAUGAGUUGGUCCCUUUCUUAGAUAUAUUAUGUGCAAUGUCAAGGCUACUUGUUUUGAGAGUAAACCACCUUAAAGAUCAUAUGUUUUGAACCUCUUGAAUCACUUGAAUAAAAGCCUUCCCUUACCCAACCAAAUGACUUGGACCAACUGACCAUUUGCAAGAAUUCACUUGAUAUCUUAUGCUUAAUGAAUGUGAGAGUUGGCAGAUCUGAAUGUGUGGAUGCUUGAUGGUGAGUGUAGGGACAAAAGGAGUUGAGAUAGGCCUAGAGAAGCUAGAGUGUAAUAAGAGAGUGUGCUAAUUGUGUUUGCUAGUGGUGUUUCUUUUGGUUAUGAGCUCCCACCUUCAACCUCUCUCCCUAUGAGUUCUAGAAAGUUCACUUGUGGACAAGUAAAGAACAAGUUUGGGGGAGUUGAUAUCUUGCAUAUUUCUAUUGUUUUAUCCAUUCAUCCAUGUGCAUUUUGAUCAUAUAGAUUAGGAUUUAGCCAUGUUUAGGUUGCAUUUUGCAUACAUGAGUCCUUAUCAGGUAUUGGAGUACCACAUGGAGUUCUUGGAGAUACUUGGAAGCAUUUGGAGCUCAAAAAGGAGUGUUUAGAGUGGUCAUUGGGCGAGCAAGGCAUGGGAGCGACCAGUCCGGAGCGACACCACCAAGUCGCUCUGAUCACCAGUCUGGAGCGACCUCACUAGAGCGACAGGAAAGAGUCGCUCGCGUAUUGAUCACCCGGAGACAACGGAUCCGGAGCGACCUCUCGCAGCGACACAGCGAGGUCGCUCCCGAAUCAUGGAAUUUCAGAGAGUGAAAGAUGAACACGGAUGAAAGCCUUAAAGAUCUUUUC